rnacentral:rRNA from 1 species
ACGCAUCCUUCACAAGAUGAGUGGCGGACGGGUGAGUAACGCGUGAGAAUCUGCCUUCAGGACUGGGACAACCACUGGAAACGGUGGCUAAUACCAGAUAUGCAGUGAGUGAAAAGGUUUAUUCCGCCUGAAGAUGAGCUCGCGUCAGAUUAGCUAGUUGGUGAGGUAACGGCUUACCAAGGCAUUGAUCUGUAGCUGGUCUGAGAGGAUGACCAGCCACACUGGGACUGAGAGACGGCCCAGACUCCUACGGGAGGCAGCAGUGAGGAAUUUUCCGCAAUGGGCGCAAGCCUGACGGAGUAAUACCGCGUGCGGGAGGAAGGUCUAUUGACUGUAAACCGCUUUUAUUAAGAAAGAAUUCUGACGGUACUUAAUGAAUAAGCCUCGGCUAACUCCGUGCCAGCAGCCGCGGUAAUACGGAGGAGGCAAGCGUUAUCCGGAAUUAUUGGGCGUAAAGCGUCCGUAGGUGGUUUUGCAAGUCGGCUGUCAAAGCCCGUGGCUCAACCACGGAAAGGCAGUGGAAACUACAAGACUGGAGUGCAGUAGGGGCAGAGGGAAUUCCCAGUGUAGCGGUGAAAUGCGUAGAGAUUGGGAAGAACACCCGUGGCGAAAGCGCUCUGCUGGACUGCAACUGACACUAAGGGACGAAAGCUAGGGGAGCGAAUG